AGUAAUGCUUGGGAAUCUAGCUUAUGGAGGGGGGUAACUAUGGGAAACUGUAGCUAAUACCGCGUAGAAUCGGGAGAUGAAAGUGUGGGACCUUCGGGCCACAUGCCAUAGGAUGAGCCCAAGUGGGAUUAGGUAGUUGGUGAGGUAAAGGCUCACCAAGCCGACGAUCUCUAGCUGGUCUGAGAGGAUGACCAGCCACACUGGGACUGAGGCACGGCCCAG
rnacentral:rRNA from 1 species